UGUCGGGUUUCACACUGGCUGCAAUGACAGCCGUUAAUCGCUGUAGUUUGUCGCUGCCCGUGUGUCGAGCCCUUAAAACAGUCAGAGAUAUGAUGAAAUUUUUGGGGCUGGUGAAUUACAGUAGAUCUUUUGUUCCAGAGUUCAGCAGUAAAGUGGCUCCACUGAGGGAGUUGAUUUCAGCUGCAUGUUGCAGGAAGUACUCAGCUCCUUUAAAGUGGACAGAGGAAGGAGACAGCGCUUUUGUUCAGGUGAAGCAGAGUUUGGCAGGAGCAUAUGUGUUGCAGAAACCUGAUUAUUCACAGCCAUUUCAUUUAGAUGUACCUGAACAGGCAGGAUUUGUGAAUGCAGUAUUGUAUCAGAAAAGGCUGGAACACAACAGGAGGAUCUUGAUGUAAUACAGUUCAAAACUGGAUCACAGUGAAAGGGGUCAUCCACCUUGUGUUAGACAUGUUGAAGCCAUUAUGAAAGCUGUUGUGAAAACAUCCCACAUUACCAUGGCAAAUCAGGUGAUAAUUCACACUUCUCAUGAUGUAAAAGCAUUCAUAGACUCCCAGGCGUUCACAUUUUCAUUGAACAAGGCAGAAAGUGUGAAGAGAKUGCUGGACAAACCACAUAUUCAUUUCACAGCUGAGGRAGUGAAUAUUGCUUCUCAGAUGAUGACAAACCAGGACCACAUUUGUGCAGAGUGGACAGACCAGGAAAUGAAAACCCAUGACAACGUUUUUCAAGACCCACUAGAGGGAGCUGACAUGACAUUGUUUACUGACGGGCACUCUCAUAAAUCUGACAAUGGUGAGCUCAUUGCCUAUUUUGCUGUGGUGUCAGAAUGUCAAGGAAAGUUUGUUGUGUUGAGGUCAGAGGUCAUUAAACAACCAGCAUCAGCUCAAGUAGCUGAAUUAAAAGUUGUGACUGAGGCAUGUAAUUUAUCAGCAGGAAAAACUGCUAACAUUUACACAGACUGUGUUUGAAAACUUCCUUCAAGCAGUAAAUGAGUAUGGAAUCCCAUCACGUGUCAGAUCUGAUAAAGGAGGGGAAAACAUUCAGGUUGUACAUUUCAUGGUGUCCAGAAGAGGCCCAGACAGGAAUUCACAUCUCACUGGACGAAGCACACAUAACCAGAGGAUUGAAUGACUGUGGAGAGAUGUCUUUGGCAGAGUAGUUGAUCUAUUCUACACAACUUUCUACAACCUGGAAUCAGAAGCCUUGCUUAAMCCUGACAAUGAGGUGCAUCUAUAUGCUCUACACUGGACCUUCUUACCACAGCUAAACAGACACCUUUACUUCUUUAAGGAAGGCUGGAACCACCAUCGUCUCCGCACAGAGAGGAAUAGGUCUCCACAACAGCUGUGGUCUCAAAACCAACGUGAAGGCCAAGACCCAUCCCAGGUUGACCUGGAAUAUGGCGUUGACUGGGAAGGUCCACUUGGACACCAUCCUGAAGGAGUGAACUUCAGAGGCUACCAGAUCCAUUGGGGUCUUUUUCCAGUGUGCUAAAUGUAUAUAUGGAGACUACUGAUGCACUGAAUGGUAUGUUUUGAAGUAUUUCAUAAAACAAAAUAAGUUUAUGUAUCCUCUCUGGCCUGGGAACGCCUCGGAGUCCCCUCAGGAUGAGCUGGAAAGUGUCGCUGGGGAGAGGGAUGUCUUGCGACCUGACUAAGGAUAAGUUGAAGAUGGAGAAGAUAGUUUAACAAUAUUUGUUCAGGUWUAGUUUUACUUUACAAGUGGUUUUAGAUUCAGUUCUGUGACAGCACAGUAUCAUCCUGAGGCAUUUGCCACUUCUAUCAAUCUUGCUUUUAGUGUUUUCACAGCUAAAACAGGUUUUACAGUAGAUCAUAUCUUGUCAGUUUGGAUAUUCCAUCUGAAUUAUUGCAMAACCUCGUUUACUUCUUCAGGCCUGUGUUAAACCUGUAACCUGUUUUUUUUUUUUUUGCUAUUAAAGUAUACUGAGAUAAUGUAAACAUGUCCAUUUCAUAAUUCAUGCUUGGUUCACACCACACAAUACUGCUGAAAGCCUGUCAUGUCACCAUACUGAUUAGUUGUUUCACUAAUGCCUGUGGUGCAGUUUCAUUUACAUGUUGGAUAUUUUGUUUACAUUGCAUUUCUGGAAAGAAGUUGCUAGAAAGUUCAGAGAAAUACCUUUUUAUUAAACCUUAAAUGUAGUUACAGUAACAUACAGUAUCUGAUAGGACAGACAACUGUCAAGCAGUUAACUAGUUAAGUAGUUUAUAAAUAUUGGGCAUACAAAUUAACAGUCCAAUAUGUUGAGUUUCUGCCAGGAGAAAAAGAUGCUGUUUAAUAGAGUAAAACCUGUUCAAUAACUACAAAUAUGUUCAAUGAAGUUACUCACUUAGCUCUCAUUUGUUCCAGUAUGUAAAAAUUAAGAAAUUGGCUCUAAAGAAAYAAAUCUUGAGAUAGGAAGAAACAUUUUCAUCAACCACUGUGUUGCCUUUAAGCUAAAUUUUCUCUUGAGGCAGAGUAUGCAAGUGGUCAAUAUUUUAUGCUUUAAUAACAUGCAUUAUAAUUUAGGAUUUCAGGUAAUUUUAAAUUCACACCUGCUUCAUAAUUCAUCUGAAUGACAAGUGGUGCUGUGUUUAACAAACUGAACAUGUGAAUCUUUUUUUGUAACGAAGUUGCUUCUAAGCAAACUUAUGACUAUAACAUUUAGAAGUACAUUUGCACAACAUAACCCAUAACCAUGCUCUGUGGUAGUUAUUUCCUCCACUACUUUUUACAGUUUUUUCUGUAAAGCUCAAAUCUGGCCAAAACCAGAAUAUGAUGACGACAUGCUGGCCAUAAGGUUUAGACAAAACUCUUCAUAGUUCAGUGAGUUUUUUGGAAGCUUCAGUGKAAAGAAGCAGGUAGAGGCCUGAGGAAGAGCACAGUCAAUGACUUCAACCUCCACGUUUGAAGACAAUACAUCCCAGCCAGUCCAGAAGGUGAGGAGACUCAACACAUCAGAGGUACCUUAUAGCACAAAUAAGAAAUGGUAACUCAUAAAAAUAUAAAUACUUUACCUGUAACAAAGACAAAAAUCACAGCAUAUCAAAUGAAAAUUAUAAUGAUGAAAUAAAUGAACCUCUCUCUAUGAAUCUUUGGAGAUAACCCAUGAUUCUGCUGUGAYCACUGAGGGAUACAAUGUCUUCAUCAACAUCCUCAUCUCUUGGCCWGUUAAUGUUGUCCAAAAUGACCUAAAAAUGCAUAAAGGUAAAUUUUUGAACCAAAAGAAUAAAACUGCAACAAGUAUGGAUGCUUCAUGGACUGACUGUACAUGGGUCACAUGAUCUGCUGUAUGUGCUACCACCACCCUGACAAACUACUAGAGGACCUUUUUUUUUAUUCAAAUGUGAGUUGAAGUACCUGUGGUGUAAUGUGCGCGUCACAUGCUCUUGGGAACAAAACCUUCACAGCAUCUGGCCUUGAACUGAAAAAUUCCCAGAUGGAAGCAUCUUUGAGACCUCUUGUUAUGUGUUUUACUUGCUGGGUUGUCCGUCCAAAAACCUGUAAGAAAGAACCGUGUGAAAUAAGCCCUUCCAUCCAAUCAUUAUCUUUUACCCAUGUGCCAUUCAACUACUGGCCCGCAGCAAAUGACCAAAGUUCAGCCCACCAAUUGAUUAAUUUAUCCCUUA